CAAUUCAAGGAGGGGGAAAAAGCUGUGUGUGCACACACUCAAAUGUGUGUGUGUGUGUGUGUGUAAGUGCUCUAAAUGUGGUGCAGAUGAAAGAGAUUACAGCGAAGGCCCAGAGCACUGAAAGCCACUAGAUAACUUCCUUCCUACAGUGUGGCAGGCAGGAUAAUGACUCUCUGAAGACGUCCAUGUCCUCAGCUCCGGAAGCGGAAACAAUCAGACACACCCGGAAUGUUGACAUUCACAGACCAGUAGUCUUGCCGCUGAAAAACUCCAUGAUGGUUUCAUAACUACCUCGUUCCUAGAUCAAAUCCCCUCCUGCUUCAGAUACCUAAAGGGAACUUGGUUUUGCUGACCACAUCCACCUCAGGACCUCACUGCAGAGCGAGGAGGCCUCUCUCAAGAAGGCAACUCCCUACAGAAAGAGUUCCACUGAAGAACAAAAUAAACAAUGGAAAACGUGGAGACAGAGCUUUCGCAAACGGGCAGAGGACCAAGAGAUGACGGGGGCAGGGAGAUGUAGCAAGAACGAAGAUGCGUGGUGUGUGUGCCACAAUGAGUGUAAUCAGCAUGCACUGUAAACAUGUACCAAUAAAAGUUUUUACAAAUUA